rnacentral:tRNA from 1 species
UACGAAGUAGCUCAAUUGGCUAGAGCAUAGGGGUGUACACCGAUAAAACUUGAUCCUAGGUUGCAGGUUCGAAUCCUGUCUUCGUAG